rnacentral:rRNA from 1 species
UAAGAGACACUAGCAAUAGUGUUUAUUCUUAUCGUUCUGUCGUCAAGAAAACCUUCUAAGCUUAACAUAUAACAAACCCGUACCGAGAUCAGACACAUGUAGAUAAGUAGAAUAUACUAAGGUAAUCGAGAUAACUAGUGGUUAAGGAACUUGGCACAUAAGCAGACGUAACUUCGGGAUAAGUCUUCCCUCGUGGAAACACAGGGCGCAGCGAAAGUAAUGGGGGGAACUGUUUAUCAAAAACAUAGCUUCCUGCUAACACGUAAGUGGAUGUAUAGGAGGUGAUGCCUGUCCAAUGCCAGAAUGUCAUGUUCUCUUGUUAACGCUCGAGGAUUAAGCACUGGUCAAUGACGGCCGUAACUAUGACGGUCCUAAGGUAGCGAAAUUCCUUGUCGGGUAAGUUCCGACCCGCAUGAAUGGCAUAAUCAUCCCCAUACUGUCUUAACCCUAGACUCGGUGAAAUUACACUCCCGGUAAAAAUGCCGGGUAGUUGCAGUUAGACGGAAAGACCCCGUGAAGCUUUACUGUAGAUUGGUAUUGUUAUGUAGCAUAAAAUGUUCAGCAUACGUGGGACGCGUUGAGGUCCAGGCGCUAGCCUGGGAGGAGCGGUCAGUGAGAUACCACGCACUUUAUGUCGCAUAACUAACCUCGAAAAAUCGAGGAACAGUGCCAGUUGGGCAGUUUACCUGGGGCUGGUGCCUCCUAAAAAGUAACGGAGGCGUGCAAAGGUCUGCUAUUUACGGAUGGAAACCGUAAUUGUCGUAUAUUAGCAUAAGCAGGCUUGACUGUGAGACUAACAGGUCGAACAGGUACGAAAGUAGGUUAAAGUGAUCCGGAUCUUCCAUGUGGAAGGGGAUCCGCUCAACGGAUAAAAGUUACUCCGGGGAUAACAGGCUAAUGGGAUUUAAGCGUUCAUAGCGACGAUUCCGUUUGGCACCUCGAUGUCGACUCGUCGCAUCCUGGGGCUGUAGAAGGUCCCAAGGGUCGGGCUGUUCGCCCGUUAAAGCGGGACGCGAGUUGGGUUCAGAACGUCGUGAGACAGUUCGGUCCCUAUCUACUGUGACCGUAGGUAAUUUGAAGGAUGCUGCCCCUAGUACGAGAGGACCGGGGUGGACGAGCCUCUAGUGAAACAGUUGUCCAACCAUUGGGCAUAGCUGUGUAGCCACGCUCGGUAUAGAUAACCACUGAAAGCAUAUAAGUGGGAAGCUUGUCCUAAGAUUAGAUUACCCGUACUUCGGUACAUAAGGCCUCUGGGAGACUACCAGUUUGAUAGGCAUCAUGUGGAAGCGUAGCAAUGCGUUGAGCAGAGAUGUACUAAUCGGCCGAAUGGGCUUAUUUG